GAUGAAGAACGUAGCGAAAUGCGAUAAGUAAUGUGAAUUGCAGAAUUCAGUGAAUCAUCGAAUCUUUGAACGCACAUUGCGCCCCCUGGUAUUCCGGGGGGCAUGCCUGUUCGAGCGUCAUUACAACCCUCAAGCUCUGCUUGGUAUUGGGCCCCGCCAGUUCUGGCGGGCCCUAAAGUCAGUGGCGGUGCCUUCCGGCUCCGAGCGUAGUAAUUCUUCUCGCUCUGGAGACCCGGUUGUGUGCUUGCCAACAACCCCCAAUUUUUUAAGGUUGACCUCGGAUCAGGUAGGGAUACCCGCUGAACUUAAGCAUAUCAAUAACGGAGG
rnacentral:misc_RNA from 1 species